UACGGGGGGGGCAAGCGUUGUUCGGAAUUACUGGGCGUAAAGGGCUCGUAGGCGGCCAACUAAGUCAGACGUGAAAUCCCUCGGCUUAACCGGGGAACUGCGUCUGAUACUGGAUGGCUUGAGUGUGGGAGAGGGAUGCGGAAUUCCAGGUGUAGCGGUGAAAUGCGUAGAUAUCAGGAGGAACACCAAUGGCGAAGGCAGCUCGCUGGGACGGUACUGACGCUGAGGCGCGAAAGCGUGGGGAGCAAACAGG
rnacentral:rRNA from 1 species